rnacentral:rRNA from 1 species
ACGACAAAUAACUCUAUUCUUUAAGAAAAGAAUUGAAGGAAUGAACGGAACGUACAUAGUUUUGUGAAAGCAAUUGGAGGGCAAGUCUGGUGCCAGCAGCCGCGGUAAUUCCAGCUCCAAUAGUAUAUAUUAAAGUUGUUGUGAUUAAAAGGCUCGUAGUUGAAUGAAGAUACUAUUGAAAAGGCUUUUCUUUUUAUACAAAAAGAGAAGUUUAGUGAAACAAUAGAAGAAGGAAAUGGAUUACUUUGAAUAAAAUAGAGUGUUUAAAGCAAAACAAUGUUAAUGAAUAAUGAAGCAUGGGACAAUAAGAAGGAGAUUUGAAAGGAUUUCGAGAAGAA